AUACGGGGGGUGCAAGCGUUAAUCGGAAUUACUGGGCGUAAAGCGCGCGUAGGCGGUUUGCUCAGUCGGAUGUGAAAGCCCAGGGCUCAACCUUGGAACUGCAUACGAUACUGGCAAACCAGAGUGUGAGAGAGGAUAGUGGAAUUUCCGGUGUAGCGGUGAAAUGCGUAGAUAUCGGAAGGAACAUCAGUGGCGAAGGCGACUGUCUGGCUCAACACUGACGCUGAGGUGCGAAAGCGUGGGUAGCAAACAGGAUUAGAAACCCUAGUAGUCC
rnacentral:rRNA from 1 species